rnacentral:rRNA from 1 species
GUCGAACGGAAAGGCCCUGCUUGCAGGGUACUCGAGUGGCGAACGGGUGAGUAACACGUGGGUGAUCUGCCCUGCACUUCGGGAUAAGCCUGGGAAACUGGGUCUAAUACCGGAUAGGAGCCAUUUUUAGUGUGAUGGUUGGAAAGUUUUUUCGGUGUAGGAUGAGCUCGCGGCCUAUCAGCUUGUUGGUGGGGUAAUGGCCUACCAAGGCGGCGACGGGUAGCCGGCCUGAGAGGGUGGACGGCCACAUUGGGACUGAGAUACGGCCCAGACUCCUACGGGAGGCAGCAGUGGGGAAUAUUGCACAAUGGGCGCAAGCCUGAUGCAGCGACGCCGCGUGGGGGAUGACGGCCUUCGGGUUGUAAACUCCUUUCGCUAGGGACGAAGCUUUUUGUGACGGUACCUAGAUAAGAAGCGCCGGCUAACUACGUGCCAGCAGCCGCGGUAAUACGUAGGGUGCGAGCGUUGUCCGGAAUUACUGGGCGUAAAGGGCUCGUAGGUGGUUUGUCGCGUCGUCUGUGAAAUUCCGGGGCUUAACUCCGGGCGUGCAGGCGAUACGGGCAUAACUUGAGUACUGUAGGGGUAACUGGAAUUCCUGGUGUAGCGGUGAAAUGCGCAGAUAUCAGGAGGAACACCGAUGGCGAAGGCAGGUUACUGGGCAGUUACUGACGCUGAGGAGCGAAAGCAUGGGUAGCGAACAGGAUUAGAUACCCUGGUAGUCCAUGCCGUA